rnacentral:lncRNA from 10 species
UGGAUGGAUGGAUGGAUGGAUGAUAGGAUGGAUGGAUGGGUGGAUGGAUGGUAGGAUGGAUGGUAGGAUGGAUGGAUGGUAGGAUGGAUGGAUGGAUGGAUGGAUGGAUAGGUGGAUAGGUGGAUAGAUAGGUGGAUGGAUGGGCAGCUAAGGUGGUAGGUGAGUGGAUGGAUGGAUGGAUGGAUGGAUGGAUGGAUGGAUGGAUGGAUAGGUAAGUGGAUGGGUGGAUGGAUGGAUAGGUAAGUGGAUGGGUGGAUAGAUGGAUAGGUGUUUGAGUGGAUGGAUAAAUAGAUGUCUGAGUGGAUGAAUGCAUUGAUAAGUGGAUGGGUGGAUAGAUGGAUAGAUGUCUG